ACAAUUCCCGAGCCCCUUCUCCGUGCGGAAGAUUGGCCUUAUGGAUCUUUUAUGUGCACGUUGUGCGUUUUCUUGGGAUAUUUGGGCGCCAAUGUGUCCUCCCUUUCAAUAGGUGCCUUUACCGUGGAACGAUACAUAGGAAUAUGUCAUUCCUUAAAAGCUCAAACAAUUUGUACGGUCAGUCGUGCAAGGAGGAUACUUUUUGUGUUGUGGACUCUGGCUAUUUUAUAUUGCUCUCCGUGGCUGGCUUUAGCCAAAGUAGUCCCCCACACCCGGAAUGGUACCGUGGUUCAGAGCUGUACAUAUACUUUGGAGCGCUACUACUACGGGAUUUACUAUGUGUUUGAUUUUGUUGUUUUCUAUGUUGUUCCCCUCGUCCUAUCGUCCGUUCUUUAUUUCUUCAUGAUCCGGUUGUUGCUGAAGGACGGGGCCCCAAGGAGCACGGAACACCGGUCCCUACAACCCAGAAACCGCGGGGCAGCGGCUAGAAUGCAGGUUGUGCGCAUGCUCAUAGUGAUAGUGGUGCUGUUCGGAACCCUCUGGCUCCCGUACCGAAUUGUUGUAGUGUACAACUCGUUCCAAGACAGCCUGCUCCAGUUCAAAGAUUCCUGGUUCUGGCUCUUCUGUCGAAACAUGGUCUUCAUCAACAGCGCCAUUAAUCCCAUUGUGUACAAUAUGCUCUCCGUCAAAUUUCGCCGGGCAUUCCGAGACAUCGUCUACAACCUUGCAAAACGUGAACCGUCCACUUCUUUGGAUACUAAAACAAGGUACCUAUUGCUGAACAAAAAGUAAAAGUAAUAUGUAAAAAGUAUAAUUGUAACCAAUUUUGUAAAAAAAAUCCAAAAAUAUAUAAUUAUUUCAUAAAACAGUUAUAAAAGCACUACUAGUUUUUUCUUUCAACCCAAUGUAGUAUUAUACAAGAUUUUGUGACAGAGGCACAUAAACUUAUAUAUUUUGACAUUUCUUUGGCUGUAGAGUAAUGAAGUACAAAGUACCUAAGUAGAGCUUUGUGGACUAUCAUUUGAUUUUCAGUUUGCAUGCAUGUUCGCAAAGCUGGCUUGUUCUUGGCAUGAAAUGUAAAUCUCUUUGUCAUCGUGUCAUUUUUCGUCAAUUUAUACAAUUUUUCAAAUUUGACAAACUUAGAACUUUCAGUAAUCUUUAAAAAAAACGGGGUAAUUUCAAUUGGCGUUUUAUAGGAAGCCCAAAGAGUAAUCACAAGUAUUUACUCAAACAAAAAUAUAAUGAAACGUAUCUACAGAUGACUUUGAUUUUAAAAAAAUGUUAAACUAGACAUACUUCAGUUAGUUGGAUGUUUAUUCUAUUUAAUAAUUUUUUGUAUUCUUUGUUACAUAUUCCACAGCACCAAUUGAAAACAAAGAAGUAACAAUUGCAUGUAGCAAGUGUUAAUCCGUGUUAAGACAUGGGUUUGAAUCGGUACCAGUAUUUCAUGAAUUCUAAUUAACAUCUUCACGUCUGAUUUGAUUUAUGUUUGUUACACUGUAUUCCUUUUUAAUGUGUUGUCGCCCAGUAAAAAUUAGAAAAUAACAAAAGUACUUAGCAUACUAAUAAUUCAUUUUGCUAAAGUCGGUCUUACAAUCGUGUAAUUGCUGCAGUUCACGAUUCGCAAAUUUUGCACAUAUUUGACUUUAACGACUUUUUCAUUGGAGAAAUCUUGUGAAACUAUCUACGUUUUUGUAUUUAGACCUUUUUGCCACGACAAGAGAGAGUAAAUGUAAUCAGUAUUUAGGAGUUGAAUUCUCGUAAACAAAGGACGCUUCAUAGAAAAUCUAAAAUAGAUUCAAUAGAUAGACAAUCAAUUUCGUCGAGUUCAGUUUAUUGAAGUGUAUAAAUAGCUAAAUGGAAAAACUGGCUUAAUUAAAGAUCAAUGCUGAUGUGUAUGUUCCAACUGUGUGUGGGUAUUGAUAAAGUGAAAUGGACAUUUUAAUGAAAGACUAAGAUUAUUUGCACUUCACUUUGUUGUAGCAAGUAAAAUGGUGUGAUAAGAAAUCCUAAAUAAAAAGAUAUUGAAAUGACCUUGUAAAAAUAGAACAAAAAAGAUAAUUAUUGGUUCUGUAUUUUUUUAAAUGUGUCAUAUUUUCAAAACAUAACAAAAGACGGAUGUUUGUCCAAUGAUUAAUUAAAGCAUUUAAACUGUCACCGAUAUUCUCAAACAUGGUGUUGAAUCUUUCAGGCAAGGAGAGAGGGGCGUUCAAUGACGGAACUGAUACCACUUCCGUUCGCCUUUCGCGCAUGUCAACUCGAUAUUCAUUUACGGCAGACAUGUUGAUGAAUGGCCGUAUUGUUCAACAGGAACCAUUCCUCUGGACCAGAAGCUACACGCGGUGACAGGGAUAAAUCACACAUACUUGUCACGAACAUGAGAUUAUUCUUAAUGAAUGAAAAUAUUUUGCCUGAAAUAAAUUUGUACAUCACCG
rnacentral:misc_RNA from 1 species